GGCGCUGUGGUGCAGUGGGUAGCACUGUUCCCUCACAGCGAGAGGGUUGUGGGGUCAAAUCCAGCAUGGGCCC